rnacentral:lncRNA from 1 species
CUCUCUAUUGUUCUUGUUCUUGUAUUAUUGUUCUUGUUCUUAUAUUAUUUCAUAACAGAAUGCAUGAAUUAUGUAUGUAUAAUAUCUUCAUUGGCUAUUUUUGGUUUAACCGGUUAGAUAGAUGGCUGUUAGGUUAAUUCUUCUUACCUAAUUGGAUAAACUUCUUCUCUCGAGUUUACUGGCUAGUAGGGUGGUUCAUGAUUCGGUUUGGAUCGGUUUUUCCCUAAAAAGAAACCAAAUCACGUAAAUUGGUUCUUCAAAUAUUGAAAUCAAACCAAACAAUUCUUUUAUCGAUUCCGUUCAUGUCAGUUUUUCAGUUUUUUUGGUGUGUGUGUUUAAAUAUGAGACAUAUACUACCAAACACAUAUUCUGGUGAUUAUAUUUUCAAGAUAACACUAUCUAACCAAUUGACGAAAUCUAUCAUUUACCAAGAUAUAUCGAUGAUAAUUGAACCAAACAGUGAUGAAUAAUUUUAGGACUUAAUUAAAAAUAGAUUAUUUUUAACACGAAAUAGAUUAUUGUACUUAGUAAAAGGAAACUAACCAAUCAAACUAUAAUGCAAAGGUAAAAAGUUAGAUUAUUAUAAUAGCAAAAAAUAAUACUAAAAGUGGAGACUAUUAAAAUGUAACAUAAAAUUAUAAAAUCAUAUAUAUAUAUAUAUAUAUAUGAGAUAUAUUUCACUGAUUAACAAAGAUCAUUUUCACAAAUCCACAAGUAGUUCUCCUGUGCAUAAUUGGUGUAUGACUUUACGAAGUAGUUUGAACACACGCAAACACAUAUUAUUGAGGCAAAAUAAAAAUCUAACAGAAGCUCAAAACUCUAGAAUUGCUAGUAGUUUCCACAAAAUUCAUUGCUAUAGCUGGACGAAUGUAUUGAUCUCAAAUUCAUUUCGAUUUUUAAAAAAGUACAUAAAAUUUUGUUUUUUAAAGGAGUGUGCUGGCAAGUAAUUACAAGAGGGCUACAAUUAAGAAAUGUGUAAUGAGCUAAGAAAGUCAAUCAUGGCACCUACGUAAUUUAAUAUAGCUGUGUUACUCCCAAAAAAGAGAAGAUAUACAUCUUAUUGGGCUCAACUUCUUCUGCCGUAUAUAUAUAUAUAUAUAUAU